AUGGUAGGAUAGAGGCCUACCAUGGUGGUAACGGGUAACGGGGUGUUAGGGCACGACACCGGAGAGGGAGCCUGAGAAACGGCUACCACAUCCAAGGAUGGCAGCAGGCGCGCAAAUUACCCAAUCCCGACACGGGGAGGUAGUGACAAUAAAUAACAAUACGGGGUUCUUUAGGAUCUCGUAAUUGGAAUGAGUACAAUUUAAAUCUCUUAACGAGGAACAAUUGGAGGGCAAGUCUGGUGCCAGCAGCCGCGGUAAUUCCAGCUCCAAUAGCGUAUAUUAAAGUUGUUGCAGUUAAAAAGCUCGUAGUUGAAUUUCGGGGUCAGUAGGUCGGUCGUGCCACUGGUAUGAACUGGUUUUACUGAUUCCUCCCUCUUGAAGAACUGUAAUGCCAUUAAUUUGGUGUUGCAGGGAAUCAGGACUGUUACUUUGAAAAAAUUAGAGUGUUUAAAGCAGGCUUUAGCUUGAAUACAUUAGCAUGGAAUAAUGAAAUAGGACGUUUGAUCCUAUUUUGUUGGUUUCUAGGAUUGACGUAAUGAUUAAUAGGGAUAGUUGGGGGCAUUAGUAUUCAAUUGUCAGAGGUGAAAUUCUUGGAUUUAUUGAAGACUAACCACUGCGAAAGCAUUUGCCAAGGAUGUUUUCAUUAAUCAAGAACGAAAGUUAGGGGAUCGAAGACGAUCAGAUACCGUCGUAGUCUUAACCAUAAACUAUGCCGACUAGGGAUCGGAUGAUGUUAAUUUUUUAAUGACUCAUUCGGCGCCUUACGGGAAACCAAAG
rnacentral:rRNA from 1 species